rnacentral:tRNA from 1 species
GGAUGGGUGGCCGAGUGGUUGAAGGCACCGGUCUUGAAAACCGGCAGACGCGCAAGCGUCUCGAGGGUUCGAAUCCCUCCCCAUCCGCCA